GAUGAACGCUGACAGAAUGCUUAACACAUGCAAGUCUACUUGAAUUUGGGUUUUUAACUUAGAUUUGGGUGGCGGACGGGUGAGUAACGCGUAAAGAACUUGCCUCACAGCUAGGGACAACAUUUAGAAAUGAAUGCUAAUACCUAAUAUUAUGAUAAUAGGGCAUCCUAUAAUUAUGAAAGCUAUAUGCGCUGUGAAAGAGCUUUGCGUCCCAUUAGCUAGUUGGAGAGGUAACGGCUCACCAAGGCGAUGAUGGGUAGCCGGCCUGAGAGGGUGAUCGGCCACAAGGGGACUGAGACACGGCCCUUACUCCUACGGGAGGCAGCAGUGGGGAAUAUUGGACAAUGGACCGAGAGUCUGAUCCAGCAAUUCUGUGUGCACGAUGAAGUUUUUCGGAAUGUAAAGUGCUUUCAGUUGGGAAGAAAGAAAUGACGGUACCAACAGAAGAAGUGACGGCUAAAUACGUGCCAGCAGCCGCGGUAAUACGUAUGUCACGAGCGUUAUCCGGGUUUAUUGGGCGUAAAGCGCGUCUAGGUGGUUAUACAAGUCUGAUGUGAAAAUGCAGGGCUCAACUCUGUAUUGCGUUGGAAACUGUAUAACUAGAGUACUGGAGAGGUAAGCGGAACUACAAGUGUAGAGGUGAAAUUCGUAGAUAUUUGUAGGAAUGCCGAUGGGGAAGCCAGCUUACUGGACAGAUACUGACGCUGAAGCGCGAAAGCGUGGGUAGCAAACAGG
rnacentral:rRNA from 1 species